GACGAACCGUGCGAACGUUGUCCGGAAUCACUGGGCGUAAAGGGCGCGUAGGUGGCGACCCAAGUCGAUGGUGAAAGCUCGCCGCUCAACGGCGAGUCGGCCACCGAUACUGGGUUGCUGGAGCACUGUAGAGGCAGAUGGAAUUCCACGUGUAGCAGUGAAAUGCGUAGAGAUGUGGAGGAAUACCGAUGGCGAAGGCAGCCCCCUGGGCCAAUACUGACGCUCAUGCACGAAAGCGUGGGGAGCAAACAGG
rnacentral:rRNA from 1 species